rnacentral:sRNA from 1 species
AGGAUGCUUUUCCAUAUUUGGGAAGGAAAUUCCUCUUUCAGAAUUUGGCCAAAACCUCUCCUGCAGUAAUUCUAUGAAUCUCUCUCCCUGCACCUGGAAGGUUUCUUCCCUAUCACUCAGUUAAGCAAACAGAGGCUUUUAAGGAUACAGACUCACAAAUUCUUAAAAUCCAAAACAAGAUCCCAUGCUUCCUUUUAAGAAAUUCAGGCCUGAUUCCUACUCUCCUCCCAGCUUAAGGCCUUCUUUAGAAUGAAAGAAUAAAUUGCAUCUGCUUCUCCCAUUCCCAGCCUGUCCACCCAUCUGCCCAUUCUCUGUGAGUGGGUGUCUGAGCCUCUGCUCACCUGUUCCUCUACAGGCUGUCUAUUUGACCGCAGGCUCUGCUCUCACCUGGAAGUCUGUAUUCAGGGUGAGUGAGGCCCAAGCAUAGAACUCACAAGAUCGGGGGGAGAGGGGCAAUAAAAAACAAGAAGGGGAGAGAAGGCCCAGAAAGGAAGAGGGCUACUGGGCUUGAGAAGAAGGAAGACUUGCCUGGAGGAGGAGAGGUAGGGGAGGAGGUGAAGAGAGUACAGUCCAUUUGCAACCUGGACUUUGGAAGGCCUCUUAUUCAAGCCCCCUGCUGACACCACUUUUGUGCCCUUAGAUGGCUUGUUUGGGCAGUGCCAGGUGGGAGUGGGGCAGGCCCGGCCCCUUUUGCAAGUCACCUCCCCAGUUCUCCAACGCUUACAAGGUGUGCUCCGACAACUCAUGUCCCAAGGAUUGUCCUGGCACGAUGACCUCACCCAGUAUGUGAUCUCUCAGGAGAUGGAGCGCAUCCCCAGGCUUCGCCCCCCAGAGCCCCAUCCAAGGGACAGGUCUGGCUUGGCACCCAAGAGACCUGGUCCUGCUGGAGAGCUGCUUUUACAGGACAUCCCCACUGGCUCCGCCCCUGCUGCCCAGCAUCGGCUUCCACAACCACCAGUGGGCAAAGGUGGAGCUGGGGCCAGCUCCUCUCUGUCCCCUCUGCAGGCUGAGCUGCUCCCCCCUCUCUUGGAGCACCUGCUGCUGCCCCCACAGCCUCCCCACCCUUCACUGAGUUACGAACCUGCCUUGCUGCAGCCCUACCUGUUCCACCAGUUUGGCUCCCGUGAUGGCUCCAGGGUCUCAGAGGGCUCCCCAGGGAUGGUCAGUGUUGGCCCCCUGCCCAAGGCUGAAGCCCCUGCCCUCUUCAGCAGAACUGCCUCCAAGGGCAUAUUUGGGGACCACCCUGGCCACUCCUACGGGGACCUUCCAGGGCCUUCACCUGCCCAGCUUUUUCAGGACUCUGGGCUGCUCUAUCUGGCCCAGGAGUUGCCAGCACCCAGCAGGGCCAGGGUGCCAAGGCUGCCAGAGCAAGGGGGCAGCAGCCGGGCAGAGGACUCCCCAGAGGGCUAUGAGAAGGAAGGACUAGGGGAUCGUGGAGAGAAGCCUGCUUCCCCAGCUGUGCAGCCAGAUGCGGCUCUGCAGAGGCUGGCCGCUGUGCUGGCGGGCUAUGGGGUAGAGCUGCGUCAGCUGACCCCUGAGCAGCUCUCCACACUCCUGACCCUGCUGCAGCUACUGCCCAAGGGUGCAGGAAGAAAUCCGGGAGGGGUUGUAAAUGUUGGAGCUGAUAUCAAGAAAACAAUGGAGGGGCCGGUGGAGGGCAGAGACACAGCAGAGCUUCCAGCCCGCACACCCCCCAUGCCUGGACACCCCACUGCCAGCCCCACCUCCAGUGAAGUCCAGCAGGUGCCAAGCCCUGUCUCCUCUGAGCCUCCCAAAGCUGCCAGACCCCCUGCGACACCUGUCCUGCUAGAGAAGAAAAGCCCACUGGGCCAGAGCCAGCCCACGGUGGCAGGACAGCCCUCAGCCCACCCAGCAGCGGAGGAAUAUGGCUACAUCGUCACUGAUCAGAAGCCCCUGAGCCUGGCUGCAGGAGUGAAGCUGCUGGAGAUCCUGGCUGAGCAUGUGCACAUGUCCUCAGGCAGCUUCAUCAACAUCAGUGUGGUGGGACCAGCCCUCACCUUCCGCAUCCGGCACAAUGAGCAGAACCUGUCUUUGGCUGAUGUGACCCAACAAGCAGGGCUGGUGAAGUCUGAACUGGAAGCACAGACAGGGCUCCAAAUCUUGCAGACAGGAGUGGGACAGAGGGAGGAGGCAGCUGCAGUCCUUCCCCAAACCGCGCACAGCACCUCUCCCAUGCGCUCAGUGCUGCUCACUCUGGUGGCCCUGGCAGGUGUGGCUGGGCUGCUGGUGGCUCUGGCUGUGGCUCUGUGUGUGCGGCAGCAUGCGCGGCAGCGAGACAAGGAGCGCCUGGCAGCCCUGGGGCCUGAGGGGGCCCAUGGUGACACUACCUUUGAGUACCAGGACCUGUGCCGCCAGCACAUGGCCACGAAGUCCUUGUUCAACCGGGCAGAGGGUCCGCCGGAGCCUUCACGGGUGAGCAGUGUGUCCUCCCAGUUCAGUGACGCAGCCCAGGCCAGCCCCAGCUCCCACAGCAGCACCCCGUCCUGGUGCGAGGAGCCGGCCCAAGCCAACAUGGACAUCUCCACAGGACACAUGAUUCUGGCAUACAUGGAGGAUCACCUGCGGAACCGGGACCGCCUUGCCAAGGAGUGGCAGGCCCUCUGUGCCUACCAAGCAGAGCCAAACACCUGUGCCACCGCGCAGGGGGAGGGCAACAUCAAAAAGAACCGGCAUCCUGACUUCCUGCCCUAUGACCAUGCCCGCAUAAAACUGAAGGUGGAGAGCAGCCCUUCUCGGAGCGAUUACAUCAAUGCCAGCCCCAUUAUUGAGCAUGACCCUCGGAUGCCAGCCUACAUAGCCACGCAGGGCCCGCUGUCCCAUACCAUCGCAGACUUCUGGCAGAUGGUGUGGGAGAGCGGCUGCACCGUCAUCGUCAUGCUGACCCCGCUGGUGGAGGAUGGUGUCAAGCAGUGUGACCGCUACUGGCCAGAUGAGGGUGCCUCCCUCUACCACGUAUAUGAGGUCAGCAGGGCCCCACAGCAAGGGGACAAUGGAUGUGGGAAGAGUAGAUGAUGGCCUUUUCGUAACGUUUUCUUCACCAAAUGAGCACUCAACAGUCUUUUUAAAAAGGCUUUUAUUGGCCCUGCUCAUGAUUCAUACAUAUAUGAAUAUAUAUAAACACAUAUAUGCAUACCCAUAUAUUCACAUAUAUACAUGUGUGUGUCCUGUUUACAGAACAUACAUAUGUGUGUGUGUGUGUGUCCUGUCUAGAGUCAAAAAGCGUUCAUAGAGACUUAUGAUAAAGGCACAGAGAUAAAACUAUAAAACCACCAAAACCGAGGUAAGAAGCUAACAGCGAAGUGUAUAUUAGACAGGGAAGAUAAGGAUACCCAAAGACUGAGAUUAAGACCUACGUUAAUUGAGCCUAAUUUAGCUCUGAGUUUCCUGGUGGCCAAAGCAAAGAAAGACAUACCACCCGUUACAUAUGUUACUAAUGUAAAAGAGAAACAAACUUUUUCAUUAGGAGAGAGACUAGGUGGAGGGGUGGAGAAGGAGGGGGAACUGGGCAGAGGCCAAGCAGGGGAAAGAGAAAUAUUUCAGACAAAUGGGAGAACGUGAGUCCCCACUAAGACAAAAAAACCUUAAGAACACAGCAGAAGCUUCUCAUCACCAGAUGAGCCUGAAUAGUAAUUUUUCCCCACCAAAUAAGCACAUGACGGUUUUUUAAAAAAGCCUUUCAUUGGUCCUGCUGGUGGUUAACGAAAAAAAUCCAGUAAGAAUACUACAGAAUUUCAUCCAAGUUUAUGGCACGUGUAGCACUCAUACUCUGGUAGACCCUGCGAGGAAGAGGGAGGAGAAACUCCGACCUCGAGAGGCUCACAAUAGCUGUGUCUGGGUGGAAAAGCUACUAGUGGUCCUGAGCAGUAGAUAAGUGACAGGCAGCCAGGGUUCCUGGGACCGCUGGAACUUAGAAUUUGAACCGGCCUGGGAGGCCGGGCGGUGGUUGGAGAGACCGAGAAGGUCGCGAGGAGAGCGCGCGCAACGCGGGGACUGGGGCAGCCCGCGGCGCUCAGGCCUGGGCCCCUGCCGGGCAGGUGAACCUGGUGUCGGAGCACAUCUGGUGCGAGGACUUUCUGGUGCGGAGCUUCUACCUGAAGAACGUGCAGACCCAGGAGACGCGCACGCUCACGCAGUUCCACUUCCUCAGCUGGCCGGCAGAGGGCACACCGGCCUCCACGCGGCCCCUGCUGGACUUCCGCAGGAAGGUGAACAAGUGCUACCGGGGCCGCUCCUGCCCCAUCAUCGUGCACUGCAGUGACGGUGCGGGGAGGACCGGCACCUACAUCCUCAUCGACAUGGUCCUGAACCGCAUGGCAAAAGGAGUGAAGGAGAUUGACAUCGCUGCCACCCUGGAGCAUGUCCGUGACCAGCGGCCUGGCCUUGUCCGCUCUAAGGACCAGUUUGAAUUUGCCCUGACAGCCGUGGCGGAGGAAGUGAAUGCCAUCCUCAAGGCUCUGCCCCAGUGAGACCCUGGGGCCCCUUGGCGGGCAGCCCAGCCUCUGUCCCUCUUUGCCCGUGUGAGCAUCUCUGUGUACCCACUCCUCACUGCCCCACCAGCCACCUCUUGGGCAUGCUCAGCUCUUCCUAGAAGAGUCAGGAAGGGAAAGCCAGAAGGGGCACACCUGCCCAGCCUCACGCAUGCCAGAGCUGGGGCAUCCCAGAGCCCAGGGCAUCCCAUGGGGGUGCUGCAGCCAGGAGGAGAGGAAAGGACAUGGGUAGCAAUUCUACCCAGAGCCUUCUCCUGCCUACAUUCCCUGGCCUGGCUCUCCUGUAGCUCUCCUGGGGUUCUGGGAGCUCCCCGAACAUCUGUGUGUGUCCCCCUAUGCUCCAGUAUGGAAGAAUGGGGUGGAGGGUCGCCACACCCGGCUCCCCCUGCUUCUCAGCCCCGGGCCUGCCUCUGACUCACACUCGGGCGCUCUGCCCUCCCUGGCCUCACGCCCAGCCUCCUCCCACCACCCUCCCACCAUGCGCUGCUCAACCUCUCUCCUUCUGGCGCAAGAGAACAUUUCUAGAAAAAACUACUUUUGUACCAGUGUGAAUAAAGUUAGUGUGUUGUCUGUGCAGCUGC